AAAAAAAAGUCCUCACCCCCUGGAUUUAACUCAGCAAAUAGUUCAGACCCUUCCAGUGGAUCAUUACAGCAGUGAUUAAUAU